UAGUUAAAACUUUCAACAACGGAUCUCUUGGUUCUGGCAUCGAUGAAGAACGCAGCGAAAUGCGAUAAGUAAUGUGAAUUGCAGAAUUCAGUGAAUCAUCGAAUCUUUGAACGCACAUUGCGCCCCUUGGUAUUCCGGGGGGCAUGCCUGUUCGA
rnacentral:rRNA from 1 species